GCUGCUCGGAGGGCUAGGGCUCGGCCCCGGAGAGGAGCCUGAGAAACGGCUACUACGUCCAAGGAAGGCAGCAGGCGCGCAAAUUGCCCAAUCCCGACACGGGGAGGUAGUGACAAUAAAUACUGAUACAGGGCUCUUUUGGGUCUUGUAAUUGGAAUGAGUACAAUUUAAAUCUCUUAACGAGGAACAAUUGGAGGGCAAGUCUGGUGAACGUUGCUGGUGCCGGAGAUAGCCGCCCCUCGGUAAAUAAAGCAGCUAGUCGAGUGCUCGCGGAAGUGACGGGUGAGCACCGGCGAGACGACCUGGGUCGGGGAAGGCUAAGGGUUACCGCAUGGGGGCCUAUGCUAAUCCCGAGCAGAGCCGAUAUUUCGCGGCCUGCGUAGAGCGCGCCAAGGUGUCGGUUCCGGGACCCACCCCCUGCCAGCGCCGGGUGGGGGGUUCCCGGGGCUUAAGGUACGUGCCAAUCCCCUGCGAAAGCAGGGCCCUGCGGACAAGCACCCGUUAUGCAAAGCCGGCAGGGGGCCCUCUUUAGCGAGGUCGUGGUCUCAGCAAGUGUGGAGGGGCUCCGUCGUUGGGACGGAUAGAUCGCUUGCUUGGGCCUUCCGGGGGAGACCUAGCUUGGAUGCCUUAAAUGGCCAGCAGCCGCGGUAAUUCCAGCUCCAAUAGCGUAUAUUAAAGUUGUUGUGGUUAAAAAGCUCGUAGUUGAAUCUUGGGCCUGGCCGGCCGGUCCGCCUCACCGCGUGCACUGGUCCGGCCGGGCCUUCCCCCCCGCGGAACCCCAUGCCCUUCACUGGGCGUGGCGGAAACGACUAGCC
rnacentral:rRNA from 1 species